UGUUCCUGUUAAUGUGCUUGAUCUGAGACGUGCCUGUCUCCUAGCACCGCUUUGGGAUCCCAAAUAAACUUUGUUUGCUUCUCCCCCUGGUGUGUUUAUUGACGCGAAGCACACCGGGCAACGAACCCGCUGUUGCUUUGCCUCGGGCACUCUGUGCUGGCAACAGUUUUGGCGCCCAACGUGGGGCUCGAGGCUGAAAUUUAGCCUUGCCCGGACCCCUCUCGGAGGUCGACAGAUUGCGGCAACGACCGACGCCCAGCGCGCACCGGUGACUUUACCGGGGGCCUCGGCGGAAACGUGGUUUCGUCGACCCCAGAGGGCACAACGGUGCAACGCGCUCGAGUAGUGGAGAAGCAGCUGCGGGCGACGGUGGGGAACCGGUCCCAUGGAUAGGGCGACGGUGCAGAACCGGACCCUUGGAUAAGGUAUACCAGAGAUUUGCAGCCUCUCCCGCUGGAUGCCCCUGUCCACUCCUUGCAGCCAGGCGAUUCCGUUCUCGUUCGGACCUGGAAGGACAAGCCUCUCCAAGAGAAGUGGAAGGGACCCCACACCGUCCUGCUGGUCUCCCACACAGCAGCAAAGGUCAAGGGACACAAGAACUGGAUUCAUCACUCCUGUCUGAAGGCAGUGCCCGCUUUUGAACGGUGGACCGUCCAGCCUACGGAAAAGGACUACCAGCGAUGACCUGGGACUUAAACUGUUAUUCAAAAGACAAUAAGGCCUGCUGGGAAUGCCCUGUGGUCUCUUUGGACAGUUGCAGCGCACUCCCCGUGAAAACUCUAAGCGUUGGUUGUGUUUACUCUCACAGGGCCGGCCUAACCUGGUGGCCUGGUCCUUUUGUUUUUAAUCUGCCUACUAUUGGUAAUUGAUAUUUUGAGGGGUUUUGGGGGAAUUGUAAUUGUUAGGCCCUAGGGUCACCUGCCCAGCAUGAGUUCAAGUCCAGGGUCUGCCACAGUGGUACUCUUUGCCAUAGGGACACUCCUUUCGUUACCUCCCGUUUCCCCCAGGCACAUGUGGGAUGGAAAGGGAUCCCUACUAACUUGGAAACAAACACAUAUGAGUCCUUGAAGGUUUGCUUUGCCCAAGAGUUUAACCUCUCUAACUGCUGAGUA